rnacentral:rRNA from 1 species
GACGAACGCUGGCGGCGUGCUUAACACAUGCAAGUCGAACGGAAAGGCCCUGCUGUUGUGGGGUGCUCGAGUGGCGAACGGGUGAGUAACACGUGAGUAACCUGCCCUUGACUUUGGGAUAACUUCAGGAAACUGGGGCUAAUACCGGAUAGGAGCUCCUGCUGCAGGGAGGGGGUUGGAAAGUUUCGGCGGUUGGGGAUGGACUCGCGGCUUAUCAGCUUGUUGGUGGGGUAGUGGCUUACCAAGGCUUUGACGGGUAGCCGGCCUGAGAGGGUGACCGGCCACAUUGGGACUGAGAUACGGCCCAGACUCCUACGGGAGGCAGCAGUGGGGAAUAUUGCACAAUGGGCGGAAGCCUGAUGCAGCAACGCCGCGUGCGGGAUGACGGCCUUCGGGUUGUAAACCGCUUUCGCCUGUGACGAAGCGUGAGUGACGGUAAUGGGUAAAGAAGCACCGGCUAACUACGUG